AUGUGGUCUUCCGCACUUGCGCUUGUCCUUUGGGCUCUGCUGAUUCCUGGAUCUUCUGCCCAGAAUUUUCUGAGGCAGACGGACAAACUCAUGCCUGUCUCUCUCGGAGGAAGCGUGACCAUCAGGGCCAAAGGGAGUCAAAACAUUGGUAACUUUCUCAGUUGGUACCAAGUGAAACCUGGACAGGCUCCCAAACUGCUCAUCUACGGCUCAUCAUCAAGAUUCUCAGACGCGCCAUCUCGAUUCAGCGGCACUCGAUCCGGGUCUGACUACACUCUGACCAUCAGUGGUGUCCAGAGAGAUGACCUGGCCGAAUACUACUGUUUCGCCUACUACGGCAGUGACAGGUCGACACGGUGA